GAGCCACCCAGGUUCCCCCUGAGUGCAUACCUUAACUUCUCUAUGUUUUAAUUUUCUGAUUCCUAACAUCACAAAACUUAGACAUAAUUAACGCACCUUGUCCUUUGAACGGGGCUACUGUAAGGGUUUGUUGGGUAAUGUGUGGAAAACCAUUUAACAUUAUAAAGCAGUUUACCCUUAUAGGGACUUCUUAUUUUCUUUUCAAAAUGCCAUUAAAAACAUUUUUUUUAACGUUUAUUCACUUUUUUUGAAAGAGAGAGACACAGCACAAGCAGGGGUGGGGACAGAGAGAGAGGGAAACACAGAAUACGAAGCAGGCUCCAGGCUCUGAGCUGUCAGCACAGAGCCCGACGUGGGGCUCGAACUCAUGGACUGUGAGAUCAUGACCCGAGCCGAAGUCGGACGCACAACCGACUGAGCCGCCCAAGCACCCCUCAAAAUGCCAUUUUAAAAAAUUCUAUUACAUCGACUAAAACUGCUUCCAAUUUUUUUUUUCUGCAUUCUCCAGGAACACUGAUUUUAAUGAACCAACCCACAAGCGUUGCGUAAUUUGAAAGUUGUGGCCCCUGAAUGAGCGCUUCCAGGGAGAAGCUACUAGAAGCCCUGGCUAAUCAGACACCUGCCUGCCUGCAUUCCAGCUAAUGAUCACAAACCAAAGGCAGAGGGAGCACAGUGCAAAGGAAGGCUGGUGGUACCUGAUAAAUAGAAAAGGCAAGAGUCUACUACGGACCAGGAGCGGAAAACCACGGACGCUUCUGAGAGUAAUUAAUCCCCACUGCACAGUCUCCUGUGCAGAGUUUGGAGGAAAAACUCUUCAGCAGAGUUUGGAGGAAAAGCCUUCAUUUGGAGCAAAUAGGUGGCAGGGAACAACUUGGACAGUGACUUUCCCUGCUGUGAUGAAUGAGGCCGCCUCCCAUCAGAAGGCAGAAGUGCCUACCGCUAGUGUGGGUGUUGGCUAGAAUCCUUUUCAUCUACGGGGAGACCUCACCAUAGCGUGCGAAGCGGUCUCCUCAGCACUUAACGGGGUAAUGAGAUCAAUGGAGUGAGGCUUCACGCUAGGUCAAUGACCAAUUAACCAGUGACGGUUUCAUUUUUGAGAAUGGUGUGAAUUACGGAGCUGGCGUGAUUCUUUUUCCAGAUCAAACCCAGAUGUCAACUCUCCUUAUUCGAUAGCCCAUUUUUUUCCCCACUAACUUAAAUGGCUUCUUAAAUUAUUUACUAAAAAUCUACACUGAUCUGGACCCUAUAGGUUUCAGGCUCUAUGUCAAUUGAUUAUUGGUCUGCUGCUGCGUCAUUGACACGCUUUGAAAAUUAUGAUAACCUUAGGGUAUAUUUUGGUAUCCUGGAGCCAAUCCUUCCACCGUCGUGCCUUUUCCAAAUUUCUUGGCUUCCCCUAUGGGUUUUCACCUCCGCUCGAUAUUUUAAAAGGAUCAGUUUUAUUGAGGCAUCGCUUACAUACAACAAAAUUAGUGGGAAAUAAAGUUAUUGUACAAUUCGAUGGGGUGUGACA
rnacentral:lncRNA from 1 species